CGUAUCAAAAUAGCAACUCUCUCUCUCUCUCUCUCUCUCUCUCUUUUCAGCGUUUCACUUCCUCUCUCUCUCCCUCUCUCUCUCAGCUGCUCCUCUCCCAUCCCUCUCUCACCGCCGUUCCUCCUUGCGUUCGUCGGCAACCGGAGCAACCCCUUCUCCUCUACCAUCGCCAUGGUAAAGAGGGAAGACUAUAAAUGCACCAAACAUGACUCUGUUUUCUCCGAGUGAAAGAUGAGAAAUUAACAGGUAGAUGAGAACGAUGAAGAGUUGCCUGAUUUUUACAGAUUCUAUGAGAAGUCUCACAAGACGAAUGACUAGAUUGAUUCUCGAUGCGGUGACCUACACGUAAGAAUUUAACAAUAGAAUGAGAUGGGGACCCCCUUCUACCAUAUCCGAAGCUGCAUCAAGAGCACGUGAUAAGAAGAUGUAGACCCUGAUAUGUUUUGUUAUUAAGAUUUUCUUUAAUUUGGAUUUUAAUUGUUUGUUUGUAUAGUAUAUGUAUUUGUUGGAUUAUACUAUGUUUAUUGAUUCUUAUUUU